rnacentral:lncRNA from 1 species
GCCCCUCAGGUCCUGAAUGACCGGAAAUGGCCCCAACCUAUGAUUGAGUGAGGCUGAAAGGGCUGCUUUUAGCUCCAGCUGUUUUCUUUUAAAAUCUUAGGAUGGAACUCAGGCCUCGAGGCUGAGCCUAUUUUUAAAGUAAAACUUCCUCCGUAGGAAAGGAUGUACUCUGCUCAGGGUACGUUGUAACACCUAAAGUCUCACUUCCACUCCACGGAGCGUGAACAGCCAAAAGGGCCUUCACCAUGCUGAGUCCUAUAGCCCAACGACGGCUCCGGAUGCAAGACCCAGGGCCUUACUUCCGGGAGCCUUGAACACCCCAAAAGGCCUCCAAGAUGUUGGGACCUAACUCAGUGAGGCUCCGGAAGCUCGACAAGAACACACCAGGUCCAGGAAGGAUAAAGACAAUCCAAGAAAGGGAGACCCAUUGUGAAGUUAUCCAACCAGAAAUGCACAGAGUCUCAAGGUCAUGCAAGUCAGUGUUUGCCUCCCACUGAAAAUAUACACGGGCCAGAAGAACAGAAGAGUAGAUGUGGUCUUCAGGGAUCAGACACUCCUAUAAUCAGUAUUUAUGGGAGAAUGAAAAAUGACCUGGUAAAACUGUAUUUUUGAACACACAGGACUCUGUGAAAUAGGUAAACAUUUUUUUUUCUCUCUCUUUCCAGC